GAAAUGCGAUAAGUAAUGUGAAUUGCAGAAUUCAGUGAAUCAUCGAAUCUUUGAACGCACCUUGCGCUCCUUGGUAUUCCUUGGAGCAUGCCUGUUUGAGUAUCAUGAAAUCUUCAAAGUAAAUCUUUUGUUAACUCAAUUGGUUUCUACUUUGGUAUUGGAGGUCUUUGCAGCUUCACACCUGCCCUCUUUGUUCAUUAGCUGGAUCUCAGUGUUAUGCUUGGUUCCACUCGGCGUGAUAAGUUAUCUAUCGCUGAGGACACUGUAAAAGGUGGCCAAGGUAAAUGCAGAUGAACCGCUUCUAAUAGUCCAUUGACUUGGACAAUACUUUUAUGAUCUGAUCUCAAAUCAGGUAGGACUACCCGCUGAACUUAAGC
rnacentral:misc_RNA from 1 species